CAGUUGUGUAGUCUCCAACUAGGUACAGACAAUGCCAUCCUCUGCUAUAUAUGUUCCAGGAACCGUGCACCAGCUCAUGUGUGCUCUUCAGUUGAUGGAUUCGUCUCUCUGAGCUCCCAGGGGUCUGCAUUACUUGAUACUGUUGGUCUUCUUAAGGGAUUGGCCUCCCCUACCUAUCCUUCCAUCCUUCCCCAUACUCUCCAUAGGGAUCCAUGACCCGAGUUCAAUGGUUGGCUGUGUGCACCAACAUAAUAGAGAGAAAUGCAAACCUCAAAUGUAAUCAAGUUGUCAAUCUUCAGAUCAAGCAGUUUCCCUGCAUGUGUGAAAAAAUAAAACUAAGAGUAUAUAACUGGUGAGUUGCAAGUGUGUUGGAUUCAGCAUUUACGAGUUAAACAUCUGGGUACAGACAGCAUCACUU